GUGUAGCCGGCUUGUACCGACUCCGACCCGCUCCAGGCUACUGCUUCCUUCAGUCCGGGCAAUACUCCACCACCAGACCGCUAAUACUUUUUGGGAUUUUGGCUCAGGCUACAUAAGAAGUGGUCAUGGAUAUAUCAUCUUGGGAUGGAACCAUCUCAUUAGCGGAAUUUCAUGUCGCUGCUCGUGCUUUAGUAGAGAAAUGGAAAAGGGUUUCUUCAGCUUCCCCUCCUUGGUCAUGGGUCUCUUGUCCAAAACAACCUUGGGUUGCUUCUCACGAAGUUAGCGUGGAAGGAUACUUGUCACUGGAGAACAUAAUUCUCGUGUCAAUUAAGGAGGAACAUGAUGAACUACUAAGUUUCCCUCAGAAAGAAGAGACAAGUUGCUCUGACAAAGAGGAGUCCAUUGAUAUUGCCACCUUAGUCCAGAGUCAGAGUGAUCGUGAUGAAAUAUGUUACUAUGAUCUCCAUAUAGUAUAUAGUGCUUCAUAUAGGGUUCCGGUGCUAUAUUUUCGUGUGUACUACAGUGAUGGAGAACCUUUGGAGUUUGAGGAUAUAAAAAAACACCUUCCUGCUCACUCUGCCAAAACACUGUUGGAUUCAAAAUGGACGUUUAUAACCCAGGAGGUUUUCAGUGCACCUCAUGGUACGAAGUUUUGCUUUUUGCAAGAGGAGAAGAUUAUCAAAUGAGCAUGUAAAAGUGAUUUGAAUUCUCGAGCAUGUGCCAUUAGUUUUAAUGAUCUGACUGGAUAAAAACAAGGUGGGUCUGGAUUGGUGCGAGGCUCUGUAACUUCUUUUAUUUGGAGGGUUAAGUGUAAUUGUGAUAGUCAUGGUUGUGGUGGUCACAAUUGUGGCCAUUAACAUUGGCGACAAACUUGGGAAGGCUGUGGUGAGGGUUUUCUCAGAUCUGUCCAAGAAGAGUGGAGAAGGCAAAAAAGAAAUGUGUUGCUGAUUGGGUUUUGGGCAUGAUGGGACAAAACAAUGCACGUGGAUACAUUUGUUAGCAGUCUGACUCUCACAAUAUAGGGACAAGAGCAAGGACAUAUCGUGAGGUGAAACAACUGCCCGCAGGUUUUGGAUUAUUAAAAUCCCACACGAAUUAUUGGUACAAGAUCUUACUGAACCAACUUUCAUUUGAUUGAGAAAAAAAGAUGAAGAGAACAGAAACUGCUUGGUUUGAUUGCCUAAGAGGUAGCUCGUGUCUUUGGCCACCGGCAGUAAAUGGAUCCACUACAAAUUUCGUUGCUUUUCUCUAUAGAUUGGGAGGAUUAGUAUUGUGUAGCUUGUCAUGAUGCUGUUUGUUGCAGAUAGCCCCAAGCUCGAGACAGAAUAUUUAUCAGGGUCAUGGUACUUCUGUAGCACCCAAGCUCUAGUAGGUUGGAUGGGGUUAUGAACGAGUAUAAUUCAUACCUAGGCCUUAAUGAUUAAUUAACAAUUUAGCAUGUAACAAUUACCAUGUAAAUGAUCAAGUCUCCAUGCAAGGCACCAUAAGUAACGACUCAGAAAAAGUGCUAGCCACAUAUGUAUACGAGUCCAAAAAGACUAACCAAACUGAAGCUUCCCUAAAAUCACUUAUAAAGCCCAGUUUCACGUGGUAAUUAACCAAUGCUGGCCUUAGCAUUUAUGACUACUUAUACCCAUCUGUGGUUAUUCCUUUUAUCAACGUGGGAUUGGAGCAGUACUGCUUUACUUGAACAAUGCGGGUCUCAUUCCAUAGAAUCUCCCAACUCUCAGAUUGGAUCCUUGAUAUUUCAGGAAUUAUAACUAGUCUUUUGGUCGUAAUCAUAUUGAGCAUAUAGCUUUUCUGUUGGUAUAGCUGCAUGUAAUGUAUAAUAUCAGAAGUGAAAUCAAACUAUUCUAGUAUUUCUUUUUCUAACGAUCGUUCCUGCAAUGUAUGUGUGGUUAAUGGGUCAUUGGACCGACAGGCACCUUGUGGAGAACUUUGUACUCGUCUUGCACGUUUUUUGUCAUGUGUAGAUUUCUAUAAUCGGCUUUGACACACAAAGUAGAGGAGCAUCCAUACUUGAAGAGGCCAUGGUACAAAUUACAUCCAUGCGGAACCGGUGAGUGGAUGAAGCUGCUUUUCCAAGGUGAUGUUUCUCUGGCUAGAAAUGGAG